rnacentral:lncRNA from 1 species
AUUUAGGACUGAGGCUGUAGUUCAGUGAUAGAGCAUUAGCCAGGCAUGCACAGCACUCUAGGUUCAAUCCUGGGCAUUGCCAAAAAAAAAAGGUGGAUAAACUGGAGGCCUAAUUUCUUUUUUUCUGGAAUUAAAUGAUCAGAGGAUAUAAAUAUUUUAAUAUAUGCAAAAAAUCUGUUGCUUUCUAUGACAAAUGAAGUCCUGACUCUGGAAGUUGUAAUCUAGCUUUUCCUGGUUCGCUACAAAGGCACAUGGUUGACUGUAGAAAUGAGGCCUGGAAGGGCAGAAGCGCCCAGGGAAGGACCUCCUGUUCUAAGAUGGUGCAGUUUCAUGCUGCUGGUGAGUUUGAAGCUUUUUUGCAGACUGCGCAUGGCUAUUGUAGCCGACUCCGACGAUCACCUGCUGCUUCCACAUCUCAGACCAUGACACUGUUUUACAUGGCUUAGCAAUAGGAAGAGUAGAGACUUGAUUUAAUUGGGCUUCAGAUUACAAAAUCUCUAGUGAUGACAAUGUCUUUGAAUGUUUUAUAUGUUUAUAAUCAGAUAUUGAGGUGUGUGUGUGUGUGUGUGUGUGUGUGUGUGUGUGUGUGUGUGUGUUUGGUUUGGCUUCAAAGUUAUGUAAGUUGAAUUUGAUCUUUUCAUUGUGGGAUCUUUCUUUUCGUUGGGCAAAGUUACGUGGCAUGAGACUAAUGAUAAGCUGUUGACUCUCUUUUAUAAAUAGUACCCUCAAAAAUGUGAUUAGAAGACUACUAAGCCUAUACUUGGAGAUAUAAUCUGCUGACUUACUGCAUUUUAGCUGCCUGCUUAUUCCUGGAGAUGAAAAUGAAAUUUUGUUGGUUGAUAUUUUUGGGUACCAUCAAGUCGUGUUAGUAUGGUUUGAACACUGAAGUGAUCUUUAACUAGACUGUUGGUUUCUAUGAUGGUUGGAUGGAAGUAAAUAAAUGUAUGAAUGUUGAUGGAUCCAUGUAUGUAAAUUAGAGGUCCUCCUCUAGAUUCUGUGUGCUUUUGUUAUAAAUAUAGAACUGACAGGGACAAUAAUUUAUGAUUAUUAAUAACUAACAGUUAUUGGGCAUUUACUGUAUACCAAUUUACUAUUCUAAUUUUAAAAGAACUUUUGUAAUGCUUUAUUAAAGUCCACUUUACCAU